AAAAAAAAAAAAAAAAAAAAAAAGAAAUGAUCCCUGAAAAUAUAGUCUUACUUACAAAGAGGAAAGCUCUAAUUUUACAAUAGAGAAUGUUUACAAUGGAGGCACCUUGAAUCAAGUUACAGAAGUUUAAUUAGAUUGUCACCAGUGAAGGGACACACUGAGAUGAUGCAUCCCCUGAUGUGUGAGCUGAGAACACGACAUCAGCUCUGUGGAAUGAGGAAACUCACACGAGCCCAGAGGGAUGGACCUUUUACAAAACAUCUGGCUCUUCAAAAAUGUCAAUGUGACACAAGGCAAAGACUAAAGAACUGUUUCUUCAUUAAGGGAGACGAAAAAGAGACACAACAAGGCUCAUGCCUGUAAUCGUUGCACUUGGGGAGGCCAAGGUGGGAGGAUUGCUUGAGCCCAGGAGUUUCAGAUAAGCCUGGGCAAGAUGGCAAGCCCCACAUCCCCAGCCCCAUGGUCUUAAAAAAUAGACAAAUCAGCCGGGUGUGGUGGUGCAUGCCUGUAAUCCCAGCUACUCAGGAGGCUGUGGCAGGAGGAUCACCUGAGACCAGAAGGUCGAGGCUGUAGUGAGCCAUGAUCAUAUCACUGCACUCCGGGCUGGGUGACAGAGCAAGACCCUGUCUCAAAAUAAAUAAAAUAAAAUGAGACACCAACAGCUGAAUGUGGUACAUUACCCUGGAUUUGGAGACAAUUCACGAAAUCUGAAUAAUGGCAUAGUAUCAGAAGGCCUUACCAUGCUGCUGCUGGCCUUCCCCGCGUGCGCCUCCAUCUGCUGCCAGUACUUCUUAGACUCCUGAACGAUGUCUUCAUGAGUCAUGCCUGGGGAGGGUGGGGGCAGACACAGGCAUCUUUCAAGGUGCUCAGCAAGGAGGGAGGCGGGGGGUCCACGAGGUGCCAGGGCCCCCCGAGGCUCAACUGGAGGAGCCCUAUUCCCAGUUAGCCCAGUCACAGUAAGAUGUGGGGUGCAAAGGAAUCACUGUCCAUCUGCAAAAUGGGAACGAAGACCUUCUCAAGCCUCACUGGGAGUGAAAGAAUUAAAUGCAGCCAAGAGUGGGAAAAUGCAGUAGAAGGAUAUUGGCUCUGUACUGUGGUGGGGAGUCCCCUGCUCCCAUGCCAUGCCAGUGACCCUGUCUCCUGGGCCGGUGACUCAGCACCCUUCCCUGACCCCCAUCUCCCUCAGUGUGGCUGCAAGCCUAGUGCCUGCUUGGCAGCCCCUGGCCUCCCUGGCACUUAGGGCUCCAUGCCUGCCCAGCCUGGCUCACCAGCUUGCCAUGGUACCUUGGCUUUUUACUGCCAGUCCCCAAAGGGCAAAUACCCCAGCCUGGUGGCAUGGACCCCCCAGUCUGUCUCCCCACCAGCCUCAGACUGUUGCCACUGAGCCCGACCUUGGAGAUCCAGCUCCCAGCUCUUCCAUGAGCCUGCCCUCUUCCCAACGCUCUCCAUCUUUCUCACGUCUUUCCCACAACGGAUGUGGCCUCCCACCUUGACCUAUGGCCCCUGCUCCACGACAGCCAAUCAUCAUCGGUGUUUACUUGGGGCAAGACGCUGCACUUGACAUCCAGUUUCUUGCUGAUGAUCCGCAAGUUCUCUGAAACUGAGGGCCUCGACUAGACCAUGGCUGAAUGCCCUGACAAGAGAAGGUGCUCAGUGAAUCCCGGAUGGGUGAGUGGGAGAACACCUUCCAGUCCCGGCAGCAGCUCUGCGAGGUAGAGGUGGGCUCCCCGUUUCCCAGAUGAGCACUGGAGGCUCAGUGAGGAGCAGGGACUUGCUGGCGACCCCCCAGGGAGCAAGCAGAGGCAUCGCUGCAGGAGCCCAGGUGACUCCCUCCCCUCUCCGUGCUCCCUGGACGGUGCCUGCGAGGGGAAAAACCCAGAUCUCCGAGCCUGGAAGUGUCCUGAGAGCAGAGCUUCUCUCCUCUGUGGUGCCUGGGACUCAUCAGCUCCUCCAGAGAGCCCACCCCGCAGCCACCUCCCCUGAACCCUCCCGAAGUCCCCUCCAGCAACCAGGGGGCCCUGGCCUGUAACCCCCAGUCAGUCCUGCGCUCCCUUCACGUGCACCGCCUGCCCCUCACCUGAGUCACCCGCCCUCCACCUGCACCGCCUGCCCCUCACCUGAGUCACCCGCCCUCCACCUGCACCGCCUGCCCCUCACCUGAGACACCCGCCCUCCACCUGCACCGCCUGCCCCUCACCUGAGACACCCGCCCUCCACCUGCACCGCCUGCCCCUCACCUGAGUACUGCUGCAGCAGCCAGACCUUGAGCUCAAUGAAGCUGUGGGCGAAGUGGCAGCUGUCCUCCCGCAGGCAGCCGUAGCGCACCUCGUGGCGGCACACGUCGAACUGGAAGUGCUCCUGGAACUGGCGGAUCUUGGAGUACUUGAGGGAGGUGGAGCGGACGAUGUGCACCAGGCACCUAGCGGGCAGGUGGGAGGGGCACGAUGCAGUCCGAAGCCCCUCUGACCUUCUCUCCUGGUAGGGCCACCUUCCCAGUGCCAGGCUCUCCCUGGGCACCCCCUGAUCUAUGUACCAAGUCCAGGCCAUGGAUGACACAGGAGGGCAGAAACGGGGCUCCUAUGCUCGGGCAUCCCUGGGCCUGGGUCCCAGCGCUGCUUUACUUCUGUCCCUCCCCUCAGGAUUCAAAGCGGGAGCUGCCAGCAAGCAGAGGACACCACCCUCAGGUUUCCAACUUGAUUCUACAGGGCUGGUCCUGCACCCUGAGGAACACUAACCAAGCAUGUCCUCCGGGCCAGGAGUCUUAAUUACCCUCACUGCAGCCUCAGGAGCCUAGAGCAUCAUCAACUUUACAGACGAGGAAACCCAGGCUUGGAUGUAAGACAGGACUGGCCCAGGAAUUGGACCCAGGUCUGUUUGACUGCAGGGCCUGGGCUCCAUAUGCACACUGAGGCAGAACCAAGGGGAACAAGAGGAAGAAAGGGGUGGCGCCAGACCUGACCCAGGCCUCCCCUCACUGCCUGAUGCUGAUGUCCUGACAUUGGAGGGUGCUGGGCUAGAGUCAGAGACGGGGCCCCCUGCUCGCUGUCAGCUGAGUAAGCUACUUCCAAGCCUCAGCUUUUUCUUCUGUUCAAAAGGGCCAGUAAUUCCUCCUCAUAGGACUGCUAAGAUAAUUAAUAUACCCAAGACAAUGCUUGGAAUAUAGUAGAUGUUCGAUAAAUGUGAUUCGCAUCCUUUCCAGGUGGAGGCUGGAUUUGAUUCCCAAAUUCUGUCCCUUUCCUUGCACCCUAGGUCCACUCUUUCAGUUCAGUCUUUCCUCAGCCAUCUGAGCUGACUCUCCAGUAGCCCCCAGGCCCCAGCCUGGGCUGAGCGUCCCACUCACUUGUUGUUGUAGAAGCUGUGCUUGGCAGCCAGGUUGGAGCAGACAGACGGAGAGUCCUUGGUGCCUUUGCUGAUGAUCCGGGGUUUACUGUCAAAGCAGAUCUGCCCAGGGAGGGGAAGGGCUGGGACCUGGCAUGGCCACCUGAGAAGGGGGUGAGCUGGGAUCCCGCAUAGCUACCUGGGGAAGGACAGCUGGGUCCCUGCAAGCCCUGCCCUGGGUCAGAGGAGCGAGGAAGGGAAUCCCUGGGGCUGUGGCCUUGUCUCUCUGGUUCCAGCUCACAGGUGACCUGGGCCUUGGCUCCCUUCCUCUCCCUCCUCCCUCUCUCUGAUCCCACCACUCCCAAUGCCUGGGGCAGGGGGUUACUUCACAUCAAAAAUAUAUAUAUAAAAAGGAA